UUAUAUUACUCGUUUA
rnacentral:sRNA from 1 species